rnacentral:rRNA from 1 species
CAUGCAAGUCACGGGGGUCCGAGGCGCAAGCCUUGGGUAACCGGCGAACGGGUGCGUAACACGUGAGCAACCUACCGAAAUGAGGGGGAUAGCCGGCCCAACGGCCGGGUAAUACCGCAUACGAUCAAGACCAGGCAUUUGGACUUGAUGAAACCUCAGGGGCAUUUCGAGGGGCUCGCGGCCUAUCAGCUAGUUGGUGAGGUAACGGCUCACCAAGGCGACGACGGGUAGCUGGUCUGAGAGGAUGGCCAGCCACAUUGGGACUGAGAUACGGCCCAGACUCCUACGGGAGGCAGCAGUGGGGAAUCUUGCGCAAUGGCCUAACGGCUGACGCAGCGACGCCGCGUGAGGGAUGACGCUCUUCGGAGUGUAAACCUCUUUUGCCUGGGACGAAUUGCCAACUUUCGUUGGCUUGACGGUACCGGGUGAAUAAGCACCGGCUAACUCCGUGCCAGCAGCCGCGGUAAUACGGGGGGUGCGAGCGUUGUCCGGAAUCACUGGGCGUAAAGGGCGCGUAGGUGGUCUGAUAAGGGUGUGGUGAAAGCCCGGGGCUCAACCCCGGGUCGGCCGUGCCGACUGUUAGACUAGAGUGCUGUAGGGGCAGGCGGAAUUCCGGGUGUAGCGGUGGAAUGCGUAGAGAUCCGGAGGAAGACCGGUGGCGAAGGCGGCCUGCUGGGCAGAUACUGACACUGAGGCGCGACAGCGUGGGGAGCAAACAGGAUUAGAUACCCUGGUAGUCCACGCCGUAAACGAUGGGUACUAGGUGCCUGGGGGAGCGACCCCUUGGGUGCCGGCGCUAACGCAGGAAGUACCCCGCCUGGGGAGUACGGCCGCAAGGCUGAAACUCAAAGGAAUUGACGGGGGCCCGCACAAGCGGUGGAGCAUGUGGUUUAAUUCGACGCAACGCGAAGAACCUUACCUAGGCUUGACAUGCAUGGGAAACUCCUCAGAAACGAGGAGCCUCCUUCGGGAUCCAUGCACAGGUGCUGCAUGGCUGUCGUCAGCUCG